rnacentral:rRNA from 1 species
AUACGGAGGGGGCUAGCGUUGUUCGGAAUUACUGGGCGUAAAGCGUACGCAGGCGGAUAUUUAAGUUAGAGGUGAAAUCCCAGGGCUCAACCCUGGAACUGCCUUUAAAACUGGGUAUCUAGAGUUAUGGAGAGGUAAGUGGAAUUCCUAGUGUAGAGGUGAAAUUCGUAGAUAUUAGGAGGAACACCAGAGGCGAAGGCGGCUUACUGGACAUAUACUGACGCUGAGGUACGAAAGUGUGGGGAGCAAACGGGAUUAGAAACCCUAGUAGUCC